GAUGAACGCUGGCGGCGUGCCUAAUACGUGCAAGUCGAGCGAAUGGAUUAAGAGCUUGCUCUUAUGAAGUUAGCGGCGGACGGGUGAGUAACACGUGGGUAACCUGCCCAUAAGACUGGGAUAACUCCGGGAAACCGGGGCUAAUACCGGAUAAUAUUUUGAACUGCAUGGUUCAAAAUUGAAAGGCGGCUUCGGCUGUCACUUAUGGAUGGACCCGCGUCGCAUUAGCUAGUUGGUGAGGUAACGGCUCACCAAGGCAACGAUGCGUAGCCGACCUGAGAGGGUGAUCGGCCACACUGGGACUGGGACACGGCCCAGACUCCUACGGGAGGCAGCAGUAGGGAAUCUUCCGCAAUGGACGAAAGUCUGACGGAGGAACGCCGCGUGAGUGAUGAAGGCUUUCGGGUCGUAAAACUCUGUUGUUAGGGAAGAACAAGUGCUAGUUGAAUAAGCUGGCACCUUGACGGUACCUAACCAGAAAGCCACGGCUAACUACGUGCCAGCCGCCGCAGUAA
rnacentral:rRNA from 1 species